GAAGCGGUAGUUCAGUUGGUUAGACUUGUUAUAAAAAUAUAAGCGGCCUGUCACGCCGGGCUGCGCGGGGUUGUGGUUUAUAAAAAGCCGUCCGCUCCGCCA
rnacentral:tRNA from 1 species